rnacentral:rRNA from 1 species
CGGCGGACGGGUGAGUAACGCGUGGGUAACCUGCCUCAUACAGGGGGAUAACAGUUAGAAAUGACUGCUAAUACCGCAUAAGCGCACAGGACCGCAUGGUCCGGUGUGAAAAACUCCGGUGGUAUGAGAUGGACCCGCGUCUGAUUAGCUGGUUGGCGGGGUAACGGCCCACCGAGGCGACGAUCAGUAGCCGACCUGAGAGGGUGGCCGGCCACAUUGGGACUGAGACACGGCCCAAACUCCUACGGAAGGCAGCAG